UAUCUGCUCAGGACGAACGCUGGCGGCGUGCCUAAUACAUGCAAGUCGAGCGGACAGAUGGGAGCUUGCUCCCUGAUGUUAGCGGCGGACGGGUGAGUAACACGUGGGUAACCUGCCUGUAAGACUGGGAUAACUCCGGGAAACCGGGGCUAAUACCGGAUGCUUGUUUGAACCGCAUGGUUCAAACAUAAAAGGUGGCUUCGGCUACCACUUACAGAUGGACCCGCGGCGCAUUAGCUAGUUGGUGAGGUAAUGGCUCACCAAGGCGACGAUGCGUAGCCGACCUGAGAGGGUGAUCGGCCACACUGGGACUGAGACACGGCCCAGACUCCUACGGGAGGCAGCAGUAGGGAAUCUUCCGCAAUGGACGAAAGUCUGACGGAGCAACGCCGCGUGAGUGAUGAAGGUUUUCGGAUCGUAAAGCUCUGUUGUUAGGGAAGAACAAGUACCGUUCGAAUAGGGCGGUACCUUGACGGUACCUAACCAGAAAGCCACGGCUAACUACGUGCCAGCAGCCGCGGUAAUACGUAGGUGGCAAGCGUUGUCCGGAAUUAUUGGGCGUAAAGGGCUCGCAGGCGGUUUCUUAAGUCUGAUGUGAAAGCCCCCGGCUCAACCGGGGAGGGUCAUUGGAAACUGGGGAACUUGAGUGCAGAAGAGGAGAGUGGAAUUCCACGUGUAGCGGUGAAAUGCGUAGAGAUGUGGAGGAACACCAGUGGCGAAGGCGACUCUCUGGUCUGUAACUGACGCUGAGGAGCGAAAGCGUGGGGAGCGAACAGGAUUAGAUACCCUGGUAGUCCACGCCGUAAACGAUGAGUGCUAAGUGUUAGGGGGUUUCCGCCCCUUAGUGCUGCAGCUAACGCAUUAAGCACUCCGCCUGGGGAGUACGGUCGCAAGACUGAAACUCAAAGGAAUUGACGGGGGCCCGCACAAGCGGUGGAGCAUGUGGUUUAAUUCGAAGCAACGCGAAGAACCUUACCAGGUCUUGACAUCCUCUGACAAUCCUAGAGAUAGGACGUCCCCUUCGGGGGCAGAGUGACAGGUGGUGCAUGGUUGUCGUCAGCUCGUGUCGUGAGAUGUUGGGUUAAGUCCCGCAACGAGCGCAACCCUUGAUCUUAGUUGCCAGCAUUCAGUUGGGCACUCUAAGGUGACUGCCGGUGACAAACCGGAGGAAGGUGGGGAUGACGUCAAAUCAUCAUGCCCCUUAUGACCUGGGCUACACACGUGCUACAAUGGACAGAACAAAGGGCAGCGAAACCGCGAGGUUAAGCCAAUCCCACAAAUCUGUUCUCAGUUCGGAUCGCAGUCUGCAACUCGACUGCGUGAAGCUGGAAUCGCUAGUAAUCGCGGAUCAGCAUGCGC
rnacentral:rRNA from 1 species